rnacentral:tRNA from 1 species
GGUCCUAUGGUCAAGUGGUUAAGACACCGCCCUUUCACGGCGGUAACCCGGGUUCGAGUCCCGGUAGGAUCACCA